GGGGAAUAUUGCACAAUGGGGGAAACCCUGAUGCAGCGACGCCGCGUGAAGGAAGAAGGUCUUCGGAUCGUAAACUUCUUUGAUUGGGGAAGAAGUAAGUGACGGUACCCAAGGAACAAGCCACGGCUAACUACGUGCCAGCAGCCGCGGUAAAACGUAGGUGGCGAGCGUUGUCCGGAAUUACUGGGUGUAAAGGGCGCGUAGGCGGGGGAGCAAGUCAGGUGUGAAAUACCACGGCUCAACCGUGGGGGUGCAUCUGAAACUGUUCUUCUUGAGUGCUGGAGAGGAAAGCGGAAUUCCUAGUGUAGCGGUGAAAUGCGUAGAGAUUAGGAGGAACACCAGUGGCGAAGGCGGCUUUCUGGACAGUAACUGACGCUGAGGCGCGAAAGCGUGGGGAGCAAAC
rnacentral:rRNA from 1 species